rnacentral:rRNA from 1 species
AGUGAACGCUGGCGGUAGGCCUAACACAUGCAAGUCGAACGGCAGCACAGUAAGAGCUUGCUCUUACGGGUGGCGAGUGGCGGACGGGUGAGGAAUACAUCGGAAUCUACUUUUUCGUGGGGGAUAACGUAGGGAAACUUACGCUAAUACCGCAUACGACCUACGGGUGAAAGCAGGGGAUCUUCGGACCUUGCGCGAUUGAAUGAGCCGAUGUCGGAUUAGCUAGUUGGCGGGGUAAAGGCCCACCAAGGCGACGAUCCGUAGCUGGUCUGAGAGGAUGAUCAGCCACACUGGAACUGAGACACGGUCCAGACUCCUACGGGAGGCAGCAGUGGGGAAUAUUGGACAAUGGGCGCAAGCCUGAUCCAGCCAUACCGCGUGGGUGAAGAAGGCCUUCGGGUUGUAAAGCCCUUUUGUCGGGAAAGAAAAGCAGCAGGUUAAUACCCCGCUGUUCUGACGGUACCCAAAGAAUAAGUACCGGCUAACUUCGUG